UCCGUAGUAACACCACGGCCGCAAGGUUGAAACUCAAAGGAAUUGGCGGGGGCCCGCACAAGCGGUGGAGCAUGUGGCUUAAUUCGAUGCAACGCGAAGAACCUUACCAGGGCUUGACAUGCUACUGCAAGCUCCCGAAACGGAGUCGCCUUCGAGGGUGUAGCACAGGUGGUGCAUGGCUGUCGUCAGCUCGUGUUGUGGAAUGUUGGGUUAAGUCCCGCAACGAGCGCAACCCUCAUGUCUUGUUACCAGCGAGUAAUGUCGGGAACUCGAGACAAACUGCCUCUGUAAGGAGGAGGAAGGUGGGGAUGACGUUUACCGACAGCU
rnacentral:misc_RNA from 1 species